rnacentral:rRNA from 1 species
ACUCCUACGGGAGGCAGCAGUGGGGAAUAUUGCACAAUGGGCGCAAGCCUGAUGCAGCCAUGCCGCGUGUAUGAAGAAGGCCUUCGGGUUGUAAAGUACUUUCAGCAGUGAGGAAGGUGGGUAUGUUAAUAGCAUAUUCUAUUUGUACGUUAGCUGCAGAAGAAGCACCGGCUAACUCCGUGCCAGCAGCCGCGGUAAGUACGGAGGGUGCGAGCGUUAAUCGGUAAUUACUGGGCGUAAAGCGCAUGCAGGUUGGUUGUUAAGUCAGAUGUGAAACGCCCGGGGCUCAACCGUCGGAAUUGCAUUUGAAACUGGCAAACUAGAGUACUGUAGAGGGGGUAGAAUUUCGA